ACCACACCUGGAGUAUUGUGUGCAGUUUUGGGCCCCAUGUAAUAGGAAGACAUUGUCAAGCCUGAAAGGAUUCGGAGAAGAUUUACGAGGAUGUUGCCAGGACUAGAGGGUGUGAGCUACAGGGAGAGGUUGAGCAGGCUGGGACUCUAUUCCUUGGAGCGCAGGAGGAUGAGGGGAG